rnacentral:lncRNA from 1 species
CGUCCAUGACACUUAUCCCGACGACGGCGAUGCUAAUCUCGAUGGUAACGCCGGCUCUAACGCCUAUCUUGAUGACUGUGAUGCCAGCCCCAACAUCAAUGAUGCCUUUUCCGAUGAUUGCGUCGUCAGCCUCGAUGUUGGUGACAUGACGCUCAUCCCGACGACGACAAUGCUAAUCUCAAUGGUAAUGCGGGCCCUGACGUUAGUGAUGCCUUUCUCGAUGACGGUGACGCCAGCCCCGACGUCGGUCACGCCUUUCCUGAUGAUGGCGUCCUCAGCCCAGAUGUUGGUGACGCCCUCCUCAAUGACAGCGACGUCGACUCCGAUAUCAGUGAUGACUUUCACUAUGACGACGACGCCAGCCCCGACGUUGGUGACUUCUUUCUCAAUGACCACGACGUCGACUCCGAUGUCGGUGAUGACUUUCACUAUGAUGACGACGACGCCAACCCCGACGUUGGUGACUUCUUUCUCAAUGACCACGACGUCGGUGACACCCUUCUUGAUAAGGUGACCCUUGCUUCGACGUCGAUGACACCGGCCUCGAUAACCGUCAUCGGUGUUUCCAUGGCUGCGACGU